UUGGCCUUUUACAUGGAUGGUUUUCUCAAUAGAAGACUCUUAAUCUAGUUUGUGUGGAUUACUUUUUAGUGAGGAAACUCCAAUGUUUUGUGCGGAUGAAUUUCUUGUGAGAAAUCCCCAAAAUUAUCAGAUGUCUUCUUAAGUGUCAGGUCAGGAUUGAAUGUGUUUGAUAAAACAUACUUUGAAUAUUCCCUAGUGUAUUUUCCCCAACAAUUUGUCAUCCCCGGUGAGUCUUCACUUGUUGCCUUUGACGUUUCCUAUGAAUCACCACUACUGUAUUUCCAUCAUUCCCCACAGGUCUGUUUAUCAUCCAUCAUAAAAAAAAUCAUGUUAUGAUUCAUCAUAUAUCCAACAAGCUAAAAAAGAAGUUUGUCAGCUCAUAACACAACAUGUCAUUCCACCUAUGGGCAAAAUUUGGGGUUUCU
rnacentral:lncRNA from 1 species